CAACUGUCACAGAAGGUGAGGUUUCCAAUAUCCCAGACGCUGAACCGGACUAUAUUUGAAGACACUGAAAUAAUAACAUUUGAAAGAAAGGAGGAUAAACUCUUUCCCAUCUUAUUAUAUUUUCAUUUGGGGUUCAAAGAAAGACAGGAUGGGUAUCAAACGGAUCAUAUCACUCGCCCUGAUUCUAAUAGUGGUAUCGACAACUGCCGAUGUAGCUGCAACAACACAUACAACUGCAGCACCCACAACUGCAGCACCCACAACUGCAACACCUACAACUGCUGCACCCACAACUGCUGCACCCACAACUGUUGCACCCACAACUGCUGCACCUACAACUGUUGUACCCACAACUGUUGCACCCACAACUGUUGCACCCACAACUGUUGCACCUACAACUGCUGCACCCACAACUGCAACACCCACAACUGCUGC